rnacentral:misc_RNA from 1 species
CCAGGAAGAGCUUUUCCAGGCAUAUCAAUACCAUUUCCAUCAGAGCUUUGCACAGCAGAUGCACUGGUAGUAUCAUCUACACCAGACUCCAAUCUCUCAUAUACAGGAAAUGGAGCAGAUUCUGUUGCUCCACUUUCCCUAUCAGAUUCCAAUGGACUGUCAGCACCACUGCCAUCAACAGAAGGCUUUGAGUUCACAUCAGAUAAAUCAUCAUUGGAACUUCCUUCUGAAGGUUGACAACAUUCAACCAUUAUGUCCAGGAGUAAAUCUAUAAUUGCUUGCUGCAAAAC